UACGGAGGGUGCAAGCGUUGUCCGGAAUCACUGGGCGUAAAGGGCGCGUAGGCGGCGCGGUAAGUCACUUGUGAAAUCUCUGAGCUUAACUCAGAACGGCCAAGUGAUACUGCAGUGCUAGAGUGUGGAAGGGGCAAUCGGAAUUCUUGGUGUAGCGGUGAAAUGCGUAGAUAUCAAGAGGAACACCUGAGGUGAAGACGGGUUGCUGGGCCAACACGUGACGCUGAUGCGCGAAAGCCAGGGGAGCAAACGGG
rnacentral:rRNA from 1 species